AAGUCGUAACAAGGUAUCCGUAGGUGAACCUGCGGAUGGAUCAUUACCAAAGGAUCCCAUCCAAACACCUGUGAACUGGUCUUAACUCGGUCGGCGCAGUGUCUGACGACCCUGUGUCGGCCGUACAACAAAUUUGUAAAACCGAUCUGAAAUCAAAAAAAGUCAAAACCUAGAACAACUUUUAGCAAUGGAUCUCUAGGCUCUU
rnacentral:misc_RNA from 1 species